CCCGCCGAGCACGAGGCUCGCCCUCACCCGGCCGGGCUUCUGAUCAAGGCCGAGUUGGGACAUGCACUUCGGGUAGGAGGUGGCAUCUGGGAGCCGCUGAUAAGGGACCUCCUGCAAGGUGUGCCUGGCAGAGCUGACCAGAGAGGUGACCCCCUGGCCAGAGAGGACUGGCGGGGUGGCCGGGAGGCGGAAACUUUUCCUGCUCCAAAGUGGAGAACAUUCGUUUCUAAUUUCCCAAUCCCACAAGGCAGGCCUCAGGCAAAGUUCCCCCUUGCUCCUCAGGCUUAGCCGGCUUGUGCAGCAACUAGCCUUCCAGAAACCUCAGCUGGAGUGCCAGGGAGCGUGGAGAUGCCGGCCGCAGGUGGGCAGGCGGACCACCGUGGUGCCUUUCUGGAGUGCCAAGGAGUGCCCUGGGAGAAGACAAAUGACCACAUGGGAGGGGAGAAUGAAGCUCUGGCCUGCCCUCAAGGACACGGUAA
rnacentral:lncRNA from 1 species